GUCCUUUGCUGUUUCCUGGCAUAACUGCUGGCGGAAAUCAUGGCGUGUAUACACACACUCCUUUUCUUCUGGCAGAAAAACUCACAAUUCAAAAUUUGGGAAUGAUUGAUAAACUAAUCAUUCAUCGUCGCUGUAGGUGGUCGUGAGCACGUUCCGUUCGCGCAGUUGUCUCCUUCCUAUGCUCGAAAUUCUUCAAAACAUCGAUCUAUCUGUGAAGAUGCCAAAGAUGUUUUUAGUCAAUACAGGCAGAAAACAAUGGUGAACAAGGAGAAUAUGUUGCCUGAUUUUGUUUUGCAGCAGACUUUAAAACCGGAAAAUUAAGAAUCCAAUCAACAAAGGAGGGUGGAAGACAUUGUUUUUCAAAUGGAGUCAUGGGUAUACAGAUAUGAGUAUGUAAAUUUGUACAAACGGAGGAGUCAUGGGUAUACAGAUAUAAGAAUUGUUUUUCAGGCAAAUCUGUAUACUUCCGCCAUCAUCUAGCGUGUUCAACUGAGGCCCAUCAAUACAAAUUCUCUGGCUUUUCUCAUUACCGUUUGAGGACUGUACAUUUGAAUGGCUCUACUUACAAAGUUAGAUGAAAGAGUUACAGGGUUCAAAAGAAAUUGCAGAUUUCAGACGAGGAGUUCUAGAAGGACACGAAUACAAACUCCACGACUAUUAGAAUAGAGGGCCACCUGAGAUUUGCCUAUGCUAUGACACCACGAAUUCUAGCUUGAGCCAUCCUCACGGCGAGUCUAAUUAGGAGUAUAUAAUAAAGGAGUAUCGCUGCAAAGGCAAGAAAAAUACUGUAAGGCCGUUCAAUAAUAUUCUGUGGUUCUAACAGUUUCAGAAUGAGAAAAGAAAAUUCUGUAAAAUAGGGGUACGCCAUCCAGCUUGGUAUCAUAAUGACUCAAGUACAAGACCGAGAAAUUUGUUGAAUUCUUUCAACGAAGUUGGUGAUAACAAUGUUUCAGGAAGCCAGUUUAGACCAGCUCAUGCAGGUGAUAGUCAUAGCAGCAGCUUCGCAUCGAUGUCAGGAACUAAGGCCGGUCUGAGGAAAACCACCUUUCCAGAUGCAGGAGACAUGGACAAUGUUGCGGAUGACGAUACUAACACUGACUGAGGAAGAAGAAGGUUUGCAAGCUUUUAAUCCCCUGCAAUUCCGUGUUCCUUGCAUGUGUCUUGGAUUUUUGAAAGAAGUAUAUCACCUUCGAAAUUUCACAGAGCCCAGACGCGGACAGUACACAGCCCAUGACGAGAAUGAUACCAAAGGAGAUCUGCCUGGUUUGCAAAAAUUCAGUUAUUACAUGCUUCUGUGAUUAUUCAAAAAAAACUGGUAGAAUGCACAUACAUCUUCUGCAUACCUGCAUUGUUUACAAAUUUCUGGAAAGGCUACUUGUACCUUGGUCCACCAACAAAACUUUGUCUAAAAUGUAAGGCUGUCAUGUGGAACGAGGAACGGAACAACAAAGGUACAAAAUAUAGCGAUCCGUCUUUCUCAAUCUGUUGUAGGAAUGGUCAAGUAGAGCUGGAACCCGAAAAACAACCACCUCCUUAUUUGGCAGAGCUCUUAUCUGGUGGGUCUGGAGGAUAAAGCUUGGCGGACAAAGCAAAGUAGUGUUCAGCUUCUAGGUGCAAUGGCUUACUGUGCUCCUCAGCAGCUGUCUCAGUGCCUUCCCAAAAUUGUGCCUAAGCUGACGGAGGUUUUAACCGAUACCCACCCUAAAGUACAGUCACAGCACAGACGGCACUACAGCAGAUGUUCAAGACUUCAGCCAGUGAUAACAUGCAGAUGCUUAUGCUGAGGCUAUGUCCAGCUGACCCGUGUCUGCAAAAAGCUUGCUUACUUUCUUGGUUGCAUAUUACAGGACUAAUGCUCCAAAUGUGGCAUCUGACAUUGAGUUUGGUAUACAAAAUUGAACUUCAGUGAGUUGGGGUCUGAAUCAUUGGAUUCUAUGUCUAGGCUCCUUAAAUUUCCUGAGUUACAUAUAAUUUUUUUGUGAAUAAAUACCUGUGAAUGACCAAUAUAAUCCUAAUUUGUAACCACGCUUGGUUAAUUAGGCUCAACACCCUGCUGGUAGUUUUUUUUUUAAUGUAACGGCAGAAAAUGUCAUUUGGCAUCUCCUUUGUAUUUUAUGAGUUGGGUUUGAUCUAAAGCUUACGCUAUGAUUUAAGUUUAUAUAUCACAGGAACUUCUUCUGUG